rnacentral:misc_RNA from 1 species
UUUCCGUAGGUGAACCUGCGGAAGGAUCAUUACAGAGUUCAUGCCCUUACGGGUAGAUCUCCCACCCUUUGAUAUAUUUACCUUUGUUGCUUUGGCAGGUCGCGGCCUCCCGCUGCUGGCCCUUGGGCUAGUACGUACCUGCCAGAGGACCCAACUCUUGAUAUUAGUGAUGUCUGAGUACUAUAUAAUAGUUAAAACUUUCAACAACGGAUCUCUUGGUUCUGGCAUCGAUGAAGAACGCAGC